CAGAAUGGAGCAGCUGCUAUGGAAAACAGUAUGGAGAUUCCUAAAAAAUUAAAAAUAUAAUUACCGUAUAAUCUCAUAACCCCACUUCUGGGUAGAUAUCCAAAAGAAUUAAAAGCAGGAUCUCGAAGACAUCUUUGCAUACUCAUGUUCUUUGCAGCAUUACUUAUAACAACCAAGAGGUGGAAGCAACCUGAAUGUCCACGGACUGAUGAAUGGAUGCAGAAAAUGUGGUAUAUACAUAUGAUGGACUAUUAUUCAGCCUUAGAAAGAAAGAAGUCUUGUCACAUGCUACAACUUAGAUGAACCUUGAGGACAUUAUACAAAGUGAAAUAAGCUAGUCAUAAAAAAGACAAAUAUUGCAGGAUUCUACUUGUAUGAGUGCCACCACGCUGGGAUUUUGUAAUUAUGAGCUUCAAAAGCAGAGACAACAUCUUCUAUUUCUGUGUCUCUUCCUACGGUGAAUAAUAUAGUCCUUGCCGUUUCAAUGUUAACAAAAGAAAAAGAAAAAUGCUGCAAUAGCUGAGAGGGUUUAGAGUAAAUGGGGUUUGGAGAGGGUCAGGUAUUUUCCACAGCCAAACCAGAGUGGAUGUUGUCCCUUUAACUGUGGUGUCCUGGCUGAAGGCCAAAACUUAAUUGUUGAUGACCCUUCCUUUUCUUUUUUUUUUUUUUUUUUUGAGAUGGAGUCUCACUCCAUCCCACAGGCUGGAGUGCAAUGGUGUGAUCUCGGCUCACUGAAACCUCCGCCUCCCAAGUUCAAGCAAUUCUCCUGAGCCUCCUGAGUAGCUGGGACUACAGGCACAUACCACCAUGCCUGGCUAAUUUUUGUAUUUUUAGUAGAGACACGGUUUCACCAUGUUGAUCAGGCUGGUCUCGAACUCCUGACCUCGUGAUCCGCCCUCCUUGGCCUCCCAAAGUGUUGAGAUUAUAAGCGUGAGCCACCAUGCCUAGCCUGACCCUUCCUUUUCUGCUAGCCACUGUUAUGUACAGUGGGUUCACAAAAAAGUUCAUUAAUGUCCUUAAGAAGUCAGAUGGGAUGGCUCUGGUGGCUCAGUGCCCACAGACCAGUGAAAGACAGAAUGUCCGGGCUGUACUGUAGGUGGCUGACACCCCAUCUUCUUGGUCACCUCCUGGAGGCCACACUUUAUGUAUCUGGAUUCUGUUUCUUUUUAAAAUUAUCCUAUUUUAUUAAUUUAUUAAUUUUAAAUUUUUGUAGGUACAUAGCAGGUGUGUAUAUAUUUAUGGGGUACAUGAGAUGUUUUGAUACAGGUAUGCAAUGUGAAAUAACCACAUCAUGGAGAAUGUGGUGGUAUCCAUCCCUUCGAGCAUUUAUCCUUUGUGUCAUGAGCAAUGCAAUUACAUUAUUUUAAAAUAUACAAUGAAGUCAUUAUUGCCUAUAGUCACCCCGUUGUGCUAUCAAAUAGUAGGUGUUAUUCAUUAUUUCUAAGUAGCUUUUUUUGUCCCCAUUAACCAUCCUCACCACCUCCCCCACCCUCCCACAACACUUCUCAGUCUCUGGUAACCAUCUUCUACUCUCCAUCUCCCUGAGUUCAAUUGUUUUGAUUUUUAGAUCCCACAAAUAAAUGAGAACAUGUGAUGUUUGUCUUUCUGUGUCUGGCUUAUUUCACUUAACAUAAUGACCUCCAGUUCCAUCCAUGUUGUUGCAAAUGACAGGAUGUUAUUCUUUUUUAUGGCCGAAUAGUACUCUGCUGUGUAGAUGUUCCACAUUUUCUUUAUCCAUUCAUCUAUUGAUGGACACUUACGUUGCUUCCAUAUCUUAGGUAUUGUAAACAGUGGUGCAGCAAAUAUGGGAGUGUAAAUGUAUUUUUGAUGUACUUAUUUCCUUUCUUUGGUGUGUAUACCCAGCAGUGGGAUUGCUGGGUCAUAUGGUAGCCUGGAUUCUGUUUCUUAUUUGCCAGUGGAUGUUUUAAAGUAUACAUCCUAUUGCCCUGGGUCAACUUUCUCAAGGACGUCCCCUCAGUCUUCUUCAUUUUUACAUAUAUGUUCGUUAUUUCUAAAAGUGUUAAAAUUAUAGAAAAGUAUAAAAAAGAAAAUAAAAAUUAUGUUUUCCAACAACUCAGAAAUAGUCACUUUCAACGCUUUGAUAUUUAUUUGUUGUAUAUCUGUGGUGUGUAUUUCAGUGUGUAUAAAUUUCAUUCUGUUUAAAUUGUGUUUUUUUCCCAAUCAACAGUAUACCAUAAACAUUUUCACAUCUUUUUAUGUCAAUCUGAUUUCACCAUAGUAUUUGAACACUUGUCUGGAACUUCAUUGUAUACCAUGAUUUUUAAUAAAUAAUCCAUUUUUGUUGACCA